UACGGAGGGUGCAAGCGUUAUCCGGAUUCACUGGGUUUAAAGGGUGCGUAGGUGGCUAUGUAAGUCAGUGGUGAAAGCUCGCGGCUCAACCGUGAAAUUGCCAUUGAAACUGCGUAGCUUGAGUACAGUUGAAGUGGGCGGAAUACAUCAUGUAGCGGUGAAAUGCUUAGAUAUGAUGUAGAACACCGAUUGCGAAGGCAGCUCACUAAGCUGUAACUGACACUGAGGCACGAAAGCGUGGGUAGCGAACAGG
rnacentral:rRNA from 1 species